GACGAACGCUGGCGGCGUGCUUAACACAUGCAAGUCGAGCGGUAAGGCCCUUUCGGGGGUACACGAGCGGCGAACGGGUGAGUAACACGUGGGUGACCUGCCUUUAGCUCUGGGAUAAGCCUGGGAAACUGGGGUCUAAUACCGGAUAUGACCCUAUGGCGCAUGUUGUGGGGUGGAAAGCCUUGUGCGGCUAGGGGAUGGGCCCGCGGCCUAUCAGCUUGUUGGUGGGGUGAUGGCCUACCAAGGCGACGACGGGUAGCCGG
rnacentral:rRNA from 1 species